CCUACGGGAGGCAGCAGUGGGGGAUAUUGCACAAUGGGCGAAACCCUGAUGCAGCGACGCCGCGUGUGGGAAGACGGUCCUCUGGAUUGUAAACCACUGUUCCCAGGGACGAAGAUGACGGUACCUGGGGAGGAAGCUCCGGCUAACUACGUGCCAGCCGCCGCGGUAAUACGUAGGGAGCGAGGGUUGACCGGAAUUACUGGCUGUAAAGGGAGUGUUGGCGGGGAUGGAAGUUGCGUGUAAAAUCUACCGGCUCAACUGGUAGUCGCUCUCAAAACUGCAGCUCUUGAGUGAAGUAGAGGCAGGCGGAAUGCCUGGUGUAGCGGUGAAAUGCGUAGAUAUUAGGCGGAACACCAGUGGCGAAGGCAGCCUGCUGAGCUUUUACUGACGCUGAGGCUCGAAAGUGUGGGGAGCAAACAGGAUUAGAUACCCCAGUAGUC
rnacentral:rRNA from 1 species